rnacentral:rRNA from 1 species
AUGGUAGGAUAGAGGCCUACCAUGGUUUUAACGGGUAACGGGGAAUUAGGGUUCGAUUCCGGAGAGGGAGCCUGAGAAACGGCUACCACAUCCAAGGAAGGCAGCAGGCGCGCAAAUUACCCAAUCCCGACACGGGGAGGUAGUGACAAUAAAUAACAAUAUGGGGCUCUUACGAGUCUCGUAAUUGGAAUGAGUACAAUUUAAAUCUCUUAACGAGGAACAAUUGGAGGGCAAGUCUGGUGCCAGCAGCCGCGGUAAUUCCAGCUCCAAUAGCGUAUAUUAAAGUUGUUGCAGUUAAAAAGCUCGUAGUUGAAUUUCGGAAUCUGUCCGUCGGUCGGGCUUCACUGUCCGUACUGGUGUGAUGGGUUUCUACCUUCUGAAUAACCGGCAUGUCAUUAAUUUGGUGCGCCGGGGAAGCAGAACUAUUACCUUGAAAAGAUUAGAGUGCUUAAAGCAGGCUAUCGCCUGAAUAGAUUAGCAUGGAAUAAUAAAAUAGGACGGCAUGGUUCUAUUUUGUUGGUUUCUAGGAUCACCGUAAUGAUUAAUAGGGAUAGUUGGGGGCAUUAGUAUUCAAUUGUCAGAGGUGAAAUUCUUGGAUUUAUUGAAGACUAACUUCUGCGAAAGCAUUUGCCAAGGAUGUUUUCAUUAAUCAAGAACGAAAGUUAGGGGAUCGAAGACGAUCAGAUACCGUCGUAGUCUUAACCAUAAACUAUGCCGACUAGGGAUCGGACGAUGUUAAUUUUUUAAUGACUCGUUCGGCGCCUUACGGGAAACCAAAGUGUUUGGG